GGUUAAGCGACUAAGCGUACACGGUGGAUGCCCUGGCAGUCAGAGGCGAUGAAGGACGUGCUAAUCUGCGAAAAGCGUCGGUAAGGUGAUAUGAACCGUUAUAACCGGCGAUGUCCGAAUGGGGAAACCCAGUGUGAUUCGUCACACUAUCGUUAACUGAAUACAUAGGUUAACGAGGCGAACCGGGGGAACUGAAACAUCUAAGUACCCCGAGGAAAAGAAAUCAACCGAGAUUCCCCCAGUAGCGGCGAGCGAACGGGGAGCAGCCCAGAGUCUGAAUCAGCUUGUGUGUUAGUGGAACGGUCUGGAAAGUCCGACGGUACAGGGUGAUAGUCCCGUACACCAAAAUGCACAGGCUGUGAACUCGAAGAGUAGGGCGGGACACGUGGUAUCCUGUCUGAAUAUGGGGGGACCAUCCUCCAAGGCUAAAUACUCCUGACUGACCGAUAGUGAACCAGUACCGUGAGGGAAAGGCGAAAAGAACCCCGGCGAGGGGAGUGAAAAAGAACCUGAAACCGUGUACGUACAAGCAGUGGGAGCACCUUCGGGUGUGACUGCGUACCUUUUGUAUAAUGGGUCAGCGACUUAUAUUCUGUAGCAAGGUUAACCGUAUAGGGGAGCCGCAGGGAAACCGAGUCUUAACUGGGCGUUAAGUUGCAGGGUAUAGACCCGAAACCCGGUGAUCUAGCCAUGGGCAGGUUGAAGGUUGGGUAACACUAACUGGAGGACCGAACCGACUAAUGUUGAAAAAUUAGCGGAUGACUUGUGGCUGGGGGUGAAAGGCCAAUCAAACCGGGAGAUAGCUGGUUCUCCCCGAAAGCUAUUUAGGUAGCGCCUCGUGAACUCAUCUUCGGGGGUAGAGCACUGUUUCGGCUAGGGGGUCAUCCCGACUUACCAACCCGAUGCAAACUACGAAUACCGAAGAAUGUUAUCACGGGAGACACACGGCGGGUGCUAACGUCCGUCGUGAAGAGGGAAACAACCCAGACCGCCAGCUAAGGUCCCAAAGUCAUGGUUAAGUGGGAAACGAUGUGGGAAGGCACAGACAGCCAGGAUGUUGGCUUAGAAGCAGCCAUCAUUUAAAGAAAGCGUAAUAGCUCACUGGUCGAGUCGGCCUGCGCGGAAGAUGUAACGGGGCUAAACCAUGCACCGAAGCUGCGGCAGCGACACUAUGUGUUGUUGGGUAGGGGAGCGUUCUGUAAGCCUGCGAAGGUGUGCUGUGAGGCAUGCUGGAGGUAUCAGAAGUGCGAAUGCUGACAUAAGUAACGAUAAAGCGGGUGAAAAGCCCGCUCGCCGGAAGACCAAGGGUUCCUGUCCAACGUUAAUCGGGGCAGGGUGAGUCGACCCCUAAGGCGAGGCCGAAAGGCGUAGUCGAUGGGAAACAGGUUAAUAUUCCUGUACUUGGUGUUACUGCGAAGGGGGGACGGAGAAGGCUAUGUUAGCCGGGCGACGGUUGUCCCGGUUUAAGCAUGUAGGCUGGUUGUCCAGGCAAAUCCGGAUAAUCAAGGCUGAGGUGUGAUGACGAGGCACUACGGUGCUGAAGUAACAAAUGCCCUGCUUCCAGGAAAAGCCUCUAAGCAUCAGGUAACAUCAAAUCGUACCCCAAACCGACACAGGUGGUCAGGUAGAGAAUACCAAGGCGCUUGAGAGAACUCGGGUGAAGGAACUAGGCAAAAUGGUGCCGUAACUUCGGGAGAAGGCACGCUGGUGUGUAGGUGAAGCCCCUGCGGGUGGAGCUGAAAUCAGUCGAAGAUACCAGCUGGCUGCAACUGUUUAUUAAAAACACAGCACUGUGCAAACACGAAAGUGGACGUAUACGGUGUGACGCCUGCCCGGUGCCGGAAGGUUAAUUGAUGGGGUUAUCCGUAAGGAGAAGCUCUUGAUCGAAGCCCCGGUAAACGGCGGCCGUAACUAUAACGGUCCUAAGGUAGCGAAAUUCCUUGUCGGGUAAGUUCCGACCUGCACGAAUGGCGUAAUGAUGGCCAGGCUGUCUCCACCCGAGACUCAGUGAAAUUGAACUCGCUGUGAAGAUGCAGUGUACCCGCGGCAAGACGGAAAGACCCCGUGAACCUUUACUAUAGCUUGACACUGAACAUUGAGCCUUGAUGUGUAGGAUAGGUGGGAGGCUUUGAAGCGUGGACGCCAGUCUGCGUGGAGCCAACCUUGAAAUACCACCCUUUAAUGUUUGAUGUUCUAACGUUGGCCCCUGACCGGGGUUGCGGACAGUGUCUGGUGGGUAGUUUGACUGGGGCGGUCUCCUCCCAAAGCGUAACGGAGGAGCACGAAGGUUAGCUAAUCCUGGUCGGACAUCAGGAGGUUAGUGCAAUGGCAUAAGCUAGCUUGACUGCGAGCGUGACGGCGCGAGCAGGUGCGAAAGCAGGUCAUAGUGAUCCGGUGGUUCUGAAUGGAAGGGCCAUCGCUCAACGGAUAAAAGGUACUCCGGGGAUAACAGGCUGAUACCGCCCAAGAGUUCAUAUCGACGGCGGUGUUUGGCACCUCGAUGUCGGCUCAUCACAUCCUGGGGCUGAAGUAGGUCCCAAGGGUAUGGCUGUUCGCCAUUUAAAGUGGUACGCGAGCUGGGUUUAGAACGUCGUGAGACAGUUCGGUCCCUAUCUGCCGUGGGCGCUGGAGAAUUGAGGGGGGCUGCUCCUAGUACGAGAGGACCGGAGUGGACGCAUCACUGGUGUUCGGGUUGUCAUGCCAAUGGCACUGCCCGGUAGCUAAAUGCGGAAGAGAUAAGUGCUGAAAGCAUCUAAGCACGAAACUUGCCCCGAGAUGAGUUCUCCCUGAGACUUUAAGUCUCCUGAAGGAACGUUAAAGACGAUGACGUUGAUAGGCCGGGUGUGUAAGCGCAGCGAUGCGUUGAGCUAACCGGUACUAAUGAACCGUGAGGCUUAACCUU
rnacentral:rRNA from 1 species